GACCAGUUCGAAGACGGCGUGACUUCCUAUCCAUACUCUGUCGAAGCUGUGGCUGGAACUGGGCUCUGCGAUCACAUCAUCAAAACCAACCUGGGGAAGGAGACAAGCGCUUGUCAGAUAUGGAAAGCUGUGAAAGACUGUGUUUGCAGAUGAAGAGACAGGUCACGAGACUAAUAGAGCAUUUCCAUACACGAUAUACCCCAGUGUUUUACCCAAAAGGCUCAGUCUUUUCUGUUUCCAUUUACGCGGACCGGCACCCGUGUCUCACUGGGCCAUGGCUCCGGUGGACCUGCUCUCAUUUGGGAUCAAAGCCAGGCCACUGGUAGCGCUUUCAUUUACAUAACAAUGGCUAGCUGUGAACUUUAACACCUUUUCACAAAGCAACUGUGUAUGCCAGCAGUAUUUUUGUAUACAACGCUAACUGGAACACCUCAGCCAGUAGAUCAGGGAUCAGUGGAGCAAGGUUGGCCACCCCUAAUAUGGAGUUUUUUUUGUUUCACCUGAAAUUAUGCUUUAGUAAUAAUUGCCUAAAUGUUACUACUCAAUGACCUAACGUUGUUUAGACUAAGAUGUCUAUUCUUUUACAUACGAGUUAGCUUAUUUGUACAUUUUGUAGUGAUGAAGGGUUGAUUCUUUGAAGUGGUGUUUAAACUUGAUUUAAUUGUUAAACCAUUAUUCAAAAUUAACUAGGGUCAAUGUUGAUUAAUUACAUAUCACAAUCCUGCAAUAAAGAGGGAAGGGGUUUUGUUCUGUCUCUAA